GGGCCGAUGGUGUAGUUGGUUAUCACGCCUGUCUAACAUCGUUAAGGUGCACAGGCGGUCCUCAGUUCGAACCUGGGUCGGCUCA
rnacentral:tRNA from 1 species